rnacentral:lncRNA from 1 species
UCUAAUUCCCUCUUUCUUACCUACUCCUCUUGAAUAUUAGUUUGAUUAAUUAAUUGUUAUGCAACUUUCUUAGUCUACCCUUAACCCGAUCCCUCGGCGAAAAGAGCCUAAUAUUAACUACUGGCUUACUUACCCUAGCAAUUAAUACAGCCUUAUAAACAGAAGUUAAAAGCAAUUGAUUGUCCUACCCGUAUCCCUAGGUGGUAUUGCAAAAUCAAGGAAUUACUCACCAGUUGAUGUCAUUAUUGUACGUCCCCAUAUCAAUAAAGACAAACAUCAGUUACCGAAUGAGUUAAAUGAUAAAGGCCUUAAGCAUAGAUGAUAACCCAACAAUUAUCAAUCAAAACAUAUGGAGACCAUAUAAAUAAUCAAGAGUUUCAAUAAAAGAGAGUAUCAAAAGAUUACAUUGUUUCCCC